AGGAUAAUAGGAUGAGGCAGAAGCAGAAGAAGAAGAAGAAGAAAAAA
rnacentral:sRNA from 1 species